rnacentral:rRNA from 1 species
UACGGAGGGGGCGAGCGUUAUUCGGAAUUAUUGGGCGUAAAGGGCGCGUAGGCGGCGCGAUAAGUCAAAGGUGAAAUCCCUCGGCUCAACUGAGGAACUGCCUUUGAGACUGUCGAGCUUGAGGCCGGGAGGGGGUAGCGGAAUUCCCAGUGUAGCGGUGAAAUGCGUAGAUAUUGGGAGGAACACCAGUGGCGAAGGCGGCUACCUGGACCGGUUCUGACGCUGAUGCGCGAAAGCGUGGGUAGCAAACAGG